AUUGAACGCUGGCGGCAGGCCUAACACAUGCAAGUCGAGCGGAUCGGCGGACGGGUGAGUAUUGCCUAUGAAUCUGCCUGUUCGUGGGGGAUACCGUCCGGAAACGGGCCCUAAUACCGCAUCCUAUCAGAUGAGCAUAUGUCGGAUUAGCUAGUUGGUGGGGUAAAGGCCUACCAAGGCGACGAUCCGUAACUGGUCUGAGAGGAUGAUCAGUCACACUGGAACUGAGACACGGUCCAGACUCCUACGGGAGGCAGCAGUGGGGAAUAUUGGACAAUGGGCGAAAGCCUGAUCCAGCCAUGCCGCGUGUGUGAAGAAGGUCUUCGGAUUGUAAAGCACUUUAAGUUGGGAGGCGUUACCAACAGAAGAAGCACCGGCUAACUUCGUGCCAGCAGCCGCGGUAAUUC
rnacentral:rRNA from 1 species